rnacentral:lncRNA from 1 species
UGGGCUGGCAAAGACACCAGCCGUGUUCAUGCCGGCUGGUGGCAACUUAUUCAGGGGCCACAACUUCCGCGGUCAUUUAUUUGCUGCUUCUUUGAAAGCCCACCUCCCUGGCAGUCUCGGCGAAGCCUUGAAUCUCACGGCUCCGCUCCCUUUGGAAGGCGUGGAGAGGCCCAAGCCGGGAGGGCUGUCCGGGCACAGGCUCUUGCUCCAUCCCCACUGCCCCUGGUGAUGGACGCCAUGGGAAAUGGCAGUGCUGAGCUUUCUUUCUGCAUAGACCCUGCUCCCUCU